GACGGAAGGUGCAAGCGUUGCUCGGAAUCACUGGGCGUAAAGGGUGCGUAGGCGGCCGUGCAAGUCUGGCGUGAAAGCCCCGGGCUCAGCCCGGGAAGUGCGCUCGAAACUGCGCGGCUCGAGUGCCGGAGGGGAGAGUGGAAGUUCCUGGUGUAGCGGUGAAAUGCGUAGAUAUCAGGAAGAACACCCGUGGCUAAGGCGGCUCUCUAGUACGGUACUGACGCUGAGACGCGAAAGCGUGGGGAGCGAACAGG
rnacentral:rRNA from 1 species